UGUUCUCUUCAGAAAGCUUGCUUUAAAUGGAGAGUUGUAUACUGUGAAUGUUUCACAUGCCUAGAGAAGAAAGAGCCUAAUCUACAGAAGAUAGUGGUUGUUUACUUCCACAGUGCUUGAACAACUAUUGUACCAGUGUAUCAUGCAGAAAUUCAUUAAAUAGGACAGAAAGAAUUCUCCUGAAAUAGAAAAUGACUGGACAGAAAAUGGCCAAAGG